GAUCUGUUGCCUCGUCCAAGAAUGUGUCUAUGCUGUCUUCUUCAAACGAAUCUCCUGUUUGGAAUGAGAAAAGUAUAUUAAAUAUGACUACUAACUAAAGAUGUACGACGGAAAACUUUUAAUGACACGUAUCAAUGAAAAGUUAGUUCCUGCAAUUCAUUACUUGUUGGUACCCGUCCCAAAGCUCUAACAAUGGUUCCAAGAUGCCUGGAAUGCAGAAAACGGCAAAAAUG